rnacentral:antisense_RNA from 1 species
CCCUGUCGGGUUUUACCUCCCCCUGGGAGAGCUCAGCCCUGGAUCCCGGCGUGCGGCGGAGCCUCUCUGGAGCCCGGACGGGACAGCCCACCAGGGUCUGCUUCUGUGAGGGGCCGAGGCGUCAUUCCGCGAAGGCUCUUCAUUCGAUGGACAAAAACCACAAGAUUAUCUAAACAGAUGCAGAAAAGGCCUUCAAUAAAAAUCCUCAUUCCUUCAUGUUAAAAACUCUCAAUAAACUAGGUAUUGAAGGAACAUACCUCAAAAUAAUAAGAGCCAUUUAUGACAAACUCACAGCCAGUGUCCUUACUGAAUGGGCAAAAGCUGAAAGCAUUCCCCUUGAAAACCAGCACAAGACAAGUUUGCCCUCUAUCCCAACCCCUAUUCAAUAUAGUAUUGGAAGUUAUGGCCACGGCAAUCGGGCAAGAGAAAAAAAUGAAGAGUAUUUAAAUGGGAAAAGAGGAAGUCAAACUAUCUUUUUUUGCAGAAGACAUAAUCCUAUAUUUAGAAAACCCAUUGUCUCAACCCAAAAGCUUCUUAAGCUGAUAAGCAACUUCAGCAAAGUCUCAGGAUAAAAAAUCAAAGUGCAAAAAUUGCUAUACACCAACAACAGGCAAGCCAAGAGCCAAAUCAUGAAUGAGCUUUGAUUCACAAUCGCUACAAAAAGAACAAAAUACCUAGGAAUACAGCUAACAAGGGAA